UUGCUUUGGCAGCACAUAUACUAAAAUUGGAACCAUACAGAGAAUAUUGGCACGGCCCCUGUGCGAGGAUGGCACGCAAGUUCAUGAAGCAUUCUGUAUUUUU